rfam:Glarea lozoyensis ATCC 20868 chromosome Tnknown GLAREA5, whole genome shotgun sequence.
GGAGACGUGGCCGAGUGGUUAUGGCGGUAGACUCAAGCCUAGCUUAGCAAACUCAGUUUGUUGGUAUUCUACUGGAGAGAUCCGCAGGGGUUCGAAUCCCCUCGUCUUCA